UACGAAGGGGGCUAGCGUUGUUCGGAAUUACUGGGCGUAAAGCGCACGUAGGCGGAUACUUAAGUCAGGUGUGAAAUCCCGGGGCUCAACCCCGGAACUGCCUUUGAUACUGGGUAUCUCGAGUCCGGAAGAGGUGAGUGGAAUUCCGAGUGUAGAGGUGAAAUUCGUAGAUAUUCGGAGGAACACCAGUGGCGAAGGCGGCUCACUGGUCCGGUACUGACGCUGAGGUGCGAAAGCGUGGGGAGCAAACAGG
rnacentral:rRNA from 1 species